rnacentral:snRNA from 1 species
GUGCUUGCUUCGGCAGCAUACAUACUAAAAUUGGAACGACACUGAGAAGAUUAGCAUGGCCACUGCGCAAGGAUGACAUGCAAAUUUGUGAAGCAUUCCAUAUUUUU